GGCCUCCACCUCCUCCUCCUCCCAGCUCUGCCGCUGCCGCCGCCGCCGCCGCCGGAAAAGGCGCCGAAGAAACCGCCUCACUUCCCCUCCCGAUCACGCAGGCGCAACAAGGCCGACCGUUCAACGAGAGCGACCUCUGACCCGUCCACGUUACUUAAAAGUAACAGUGUUACCAAGAGUUCCCGUGCCUUGGCGCAUUUUCAGCUUUUUAAGCAUAGUAUUCUGCAUUUGAUCUGCCUUACUUCCUGACUUGCUGGUAAGGGAUUCAGCUUCUCAAGGAGAUCUUUCUAAUGGCCAAGUUGGUGGUGAAAGCAAAGAUGGAAGAACUUUCCAUGUUACAGGACCCAGAGAAAAGAUUAAUCUUCCAAAUCUCAAGAAAAGGUGGGUUAAAACUCACCCGAUGACACAGGAUAUUUGGCGUUUAGUAGCCACCUCAUUGCUGACCCCUAUCGGACCAUCGCCAAAACUUCUCUGCUAAAGACUGUUAAUCACCCUCGCCGCCAACAGGGGCUGCUCGUUCACUCACAGCCUGUUGGAGAAAAUGGCUGCCGGGCCACAGCGCAAAAAAGGCGCCUCUGACCCCAGAUUGCCCAAGUUCACCUGGCGGCGGUCCAGCUUGCUGCUCUGUUACCACUGUUUCCCCAGACGUUUCCUCCCCACGUCCUGCCAGGAAAGGUUACCUUCUUUCACCACUGUUAGGUCAAAGUUUUUGCUUUCAAAUAUUGCAGACGGAAGAUCUGACAGAUCAGCAGCCUUUCACCCGAAUCCUUACAUUCAACUGUUUAUGGAUAGGGCUGAGCUUCCGACGGGGUACCCUGCUACUCCUUCCUUGGGUGGCGGGGACAACUUAGAGGGCGCCCAGACGCCCUUGUGAGAGCAGAGGUAAGGGGCCAGCGUGGCCGAAUGUCGUCACCCGGUCUCCCCUCGAUUCUUGGAUUGCCAAAAGCCGACGUUAGAGAUGGAAGGAAGCGCCGGUAACUUCGAGCCCCCCGCGCGCGGCUGCAUGCGAACUCAGUGUUGCGGAGAGCAAAACCUCAGCGCCCGCCACCGAGCUGCCUCGAGCAAGGCUGGUGUCCCUAUCUCAUUUUAAAAAGGAAAUACAUGAGCAAAGUUUGAAGGAAUAGAAUUUUCAAGUUGUCAGAAGUUCUUGGUUGUGAUUGUAAUUUCACCUCUAUGAAAGAACUGUCUUUUAAAGGAUUCCCUUUUAAAUUCAGACAUUUUAGGGGCUGCGGAAGUUGAUCAAAUAUCCACAUCAGUCUUAACAUUAAUCUGAUAAUCUAUUGGGAAUUUAAAGACUAAGCACUAAACACAGAUUUACACCACUUGUAAAAUAACAAGGAAAGGGACAGUGUAGUAAGCUUUUCAUAAAGCUAAUGGUAUUCCAUUUUUUUGAGGUGAUUCUUUUUUUUAAACAAAAAUAACUGUUAGAAAAGGCCCUCCUUGAACAAAUAUCUUCUUCUGGUGCUUCUGGGUCUACCCUCUACAACUUCAUGGACUAAGUCCUACUCCAAUUCUUCAGGACAUUUGAAGACUUUAAAAGUCACCUCCAAAUCAAUGCACUUUCACUAAAUGGAAAUAUACAGAAAUGCAUUUUUACUUUUUAAAUCUUUACCCCACUCCACCCAGAAAAUAGAAAAAUACUUUGAACAUUUUUUACCCCCUCCCAAUGCCGCUACCCCCCCUACCCCCCCCAAUGGAUCCCUAAAUUUAGCCCAGAAUGGCUUAACUGUGACUAUAAGGACUGCAUUUGAGUUGCCAUCUCUGCUGGCUUUGGAGUUUCUAUUCCCCUUCAGUCUUUUCCACAACCUCUAGGAGAACUUCUCAGCUUUCUGUAACUGAAGUGUGGUAGGCAGAAUAAUGAAUGACCUCUCCCCCCGCAAGAUGUCUACAUCCUCGUAUUGGAACCUACGAUAUAUUACUUUACAUGGUAAAAGGUAUGAGUAAAUUAAGGAUCUUGAGAUGGGGAGAUUAUCCUGGAAUAUCCCAGGGGGCCCAGUGAAAUUACAAGAAUCCUUGUGAAGAAGGGAGGCAAGACAAUCAGAGUCAGAGAAGAAGAUAAAUACAGCCUGGAAGUAGAGAUUGGAGUCCUGCAAAGCCACCAACCAAAGACUGUGGACAGCUUCUGGAAGCUGGGAAAAGCAAGGAAACCAAUUCUCUCCUAGAGCCUCCAGAAAGAAUGCAGCCCUGCUGACCCAUCCCGGACUUCUGACCUUCAGAACUGUAUGAUAAAUGUGUGUUGCUUAACCCACUGAAUUUGUGGUACUUUGCUACGGUAGCAAUAGAAAACACAUGAAAAUACAUGAGAGGGGUCAAGGUUAGUCUGUACCUGAAAAAAACCCCUAUGAGGUCAGGAAGAACUCAUUACAGUAACUGUCUUCUGUAAUAUACUUGUGCUUUUUUUUUUUCUUUAAGAACUUUUCAUGUUGAACCAGUUUUUAGGGUUGAUACCUUUUCUCAUGGUUUGUAUUUCUUUAAACUAUAAGAAUUUAGAACUCAUCCAUCCAUUCAUCUAGCCAUCUACCCAUUCAAAAAAUUGUUUAAGUAAGUGCCGAAUAUUUACCAGAUCAUAUAUUUAUACUAGAUAAGCAGAAACAGUAUAGACAAAUUAUUGUCCUUGUAGAGCUUCUGUCUUGUUGAGGGUGAGGAGGAGACCAUCUUUUAAAAAUGAUCCAUGUAAGGUGAGUUUUAGCAUUCUUGUUAUGCUCUGCUGAGUAUAUUUAAUUCAUUAGCCUGCUUGCAUGCCUGAAAUCGCCAAUACGAAAAACUCUGUCCUGGGUUAAGGCAUGGUUUUCAGUUACAAAUACACUUGUACAUUUGUACAAAACAUGUACAAAAACACCAUUAGAGAAUGUCUAUUUCAGCCACCCUCCUGAUACUUGGUUAUACUUUACUACAAUUUCCUACAAUAUCCAUGAAAGAAGUUCAGUAUUUCAUGAUGUUGACCACAUUUUUUUUUUAAAAAAAGAGUUUGUGUUAAUGGUGUAAUAUUUUUGAUAUACACUAACUUAAAAGUUGUAUGUAUUCACAACUAUUCUAUUAGUCUUAACCUUUAUGGUUUAUACUUUGGGUGUUUACUUUGAAGGGCCUCAUCCAUCUCAAGAGCAUAUAAAUAGUCAUAUUAAUGUUUAUAACUCUGUUAUCUUUAGAGUACACAUGUCAUUGAUUUAAAAAUAGCACUGUCUCUCCAAAACAAUGCUUUUCUUGUUCUUUACUUUUUGGGGGGUUCACAUUCUUGGUGCAAAGUGCUGACAGCAGAUGAAAUAUUACAGAUAUAAUUAUCAAAAAAUUGUUGUCCAUUUUGACCUUCCUGGUGGCUCCCUAAAGGAUCACUUCGAAAGUUUUCCUUUGUUUUAACUACAUAGGGGUUUUUCCAGCGCCAGAAAGGCUUCACAAGCAGUAUUUGUUGAAAGCAUUUAAAAGCAAAUGUAUUAGCUCCUGCCAGCCAUGGCAAGAGUUAAUAGGGCAAAAAAUAGAUCAAAAAGGCUAAGAAGAAAGAAGCUGAGGAAGGAGGCACUUGGAGGAAUAUAGACUGGCAACUCUGGUAUAUUCCAGGGAAUCCAGAAGGUCAAAUACAUGCCCAAGGCAGAAUGCGUGCUCAGAAGAGACCUCUCACUAAGCUCUCACUUUGGGCUGGACUUCAGGCUCAGAACAAGAAGGAAAUGAAGGCUAAGGCAGAGUUAUAAACUGACAUGCUAAAUGUUGAAGUACCCCAACAUAGUCCAUUCUGCAAAAUCAGAGAGAAUUCUUUUGUUUGGUUGGUUGGUUGGUUCAAACAUUUAAGGAAAUCUCUGUCAAACCAUUAGUGGCACAUUAUUCUAAUGGAACAGAACUUCAGUGGCCACAAACAACAAGGAAUAAAUAAAGACUUACCAAAAUUAGUUCAAAAGAGAGGAUUCUGGGGAAAUAGUAGAGUAGAAAGCACCAGGAAUCUGUCUCUCCACCUAGACAACAACUGAAGGAUAGCAGACAACAACUGGCAGAGUCUGUCUAGGGUACCUAUUUCAGAACUGAGUGGCUGCAACUUCCAGAAAAAGUCUUGGAUGGUAAACUGUGGUUAACUUUUGUCAAUUUCAGCGCCUAGCCCCACAGCAGGCAGAUGUAUACAUAUUCCUGGAGCAGCUUGCAUGGCGUUUGGCAGCCAGAAUGCACAAAAGGACCCAGUUUUCCAAAUAUUGAGCAUCUAUGCUCUGACUGACCAUUGCAGUUUCUGGUCACAGAGGUGCAGGAAAAGAGGUAGGUGGCCAUUGUUGUUGCAUCUCCCACCAUUGUUGGAAGCCCCUGCUAACUUCCAGGGGAUUGCAAGGGUCAGCACCCUUUUUCUCCUCUCUUAUAUUUUUCCUUUUUCUUUUCCCCCUUUGGGGAGCCAGAUGACAAAGACUAUGACAUUCAAAAGCAACUGCAUAUAUGGGGAAAAUUAGAAAUUUCUGCUUCAAGGGGUGCCUGGGUGGCUUAGUUGGUUAAAUGUCUGACUCUUGAUUUUGGCUCAGGUCAUGAUCUCAUGGUUCUGAGUUUGAGCCCCAUGUCAGGCUGUAUGCUGGCAGG